ensembl:lncRNA
GGAUGGGCAAUGACUCUUUACAAGCGAGGAUAGUGAUAGGACAAGGAGGGAUGGUUUUAAACUAAGACAGGAGAGAUUUAGGUUAGAUAUUAGGAGGAAGUUUUUCACUCAGAGGGUGGUGAUGCACUGGAACAGGUUGCCCAAGGAGCUUGUGGAUGCCCCAUCCCUGGGUGCAUCCAAGGCCAGGCUGGAUGCGGCUCUGGGCAGUCUAAAAGGGGCUUAAAACUAGAUGUUCUUUGUGGUCCUUUCCAACCCAGGCCAUUCUAUGAUUCUGUGAUUCUAUGAUUCUCAUUAUUUAGUAUUCUGUCAAAAUGACCCCCACGGGUAUUCUUAGUCAAUUAUUAAACUGCAAAGUAUUGCAAUUUUUUCCUAGCAGAAGUAAUGAUUUUACUUUUAUUUUUAUUCAUUAUGUACCCUUGGUACAUGUAAGAGCAUUUUUCCCUCCUUUGUCACAUACAAAAUGAAUUGCAGGCAAGAUUGCUGUCAUUGUUAUUUCUUUUAACUUAAUUGUAUACAUUGUUGUAUACUGAGAUAAAGGUUUGUAUACUGAAAUGAAGGCUUUCAAAUCACUUCUGUUUGUUAACAUACAAGACACCAAAUAUAGCAGUCAAUGAGCUCUGCAAUGAUAUUCUUUCUAGUUACAGGAAGUUUAUAGUAAUUUAUAGACUUCUGAAUUUAUCUAUGCCAGUCUUACAGUCAUUGCAGCAUGAAACUGAAGUACCAGAGUUACUUUUAGCCCCCUGCAUUUUUCUAGAUUUUAGAUGUAUUACAUUUUUACUUAAUUAUAAUUUUAACUUGUUAGUUUUUAAUUGUGAAAAGAAAUCCUUUUGCUAUCUUGAUUAACUGUUACUAAUAGAUUUUGCUUUGUAUUGCUAUACACACAGGAAACAAAUAUGGAAGCUUGUGAUAGCAAAAGGAGAGUGCUGUGCUGUAUAAAGGAAUUUACUUCAGUAGACAAAACCAGCUGCAGUGAUGUAGGGCAAUGAACAUUUAGUUGAUGAGGUGGAUAUUCUAAUUCAAACAUGUCUCCUGGAUUUAUGUUGAAAUAAAAAAA